GACAGAGGGUGCAAACGUUGUUCGGAAUUACUGGGCGUAAAGCGUGUGUAGGCGGCCAUUCAAGUCGGAUGUGAAAGCCCCGGGCUCAACCCGGGAAGUGCACCCCGAAACUGGAUGGCUUGAGUAUCGGAGAGGUUGGUGGAAUUCUCGGUGUAGGAGGUGAAAUUCGUAGAUAUCGAGAGGAACACCGGUGGCGAAGGCGGCCAACUGGACGAAUACUGACGCUGAGACACGAAAGCGUGGGGAGCAAACAGG
rnacentral:rRNA from 1 species